AUGGAUUACAAGCUCAUUGCCUUCUUCAACAUGGGAUUAGUCUAUCUGGAAUCCGGUCGCCGUACAUGGUUAUGGCUCAUCAUCAAUCCUGUUGAGGCAACAUUUCUGCCUGAUGCUAUAGUGCACGAUGGCAUCAUUUACGCGGUCGACGCACAGAUUGGCUGCCUAUACUGGUGGAAUCUAUCGUCGUACGCAAAUGCGCUGGCCUUCAUAAUUCCAGGACCUGGAAUCAUACCAGCCGAUGGAAUUAACCGAUGCAAGUCGAAGAAGGAUUGGCCGGUGCUACCGGCUGGCAUCAAGUUCGAUCCCACAGAUCAGGAGCUGAUCGAGCACCUCGAGGCCAAAGUGAGUGCUGACAGCGCGAGAUCUCACCCUCUCAUUGAUUUGUUCAUACCAACCAUCAACAGCGAGCACGACAUAUGCUACACCCAUCCUGAGAAACUUCCAGGUAUCACACUGAGUGGCCUAAGCAAGCAUUUCUUCCAGCACAAUUUCAGGGCGUUCAAAAGGGGCACGUGGACGCGUCGCAAGAUACAGUCGGAGUGUGGCAUGCACGCGAUGUGGCACAACACCGGCAAUACCUUGCCGGUGAUGGUCAACGGCCGGUAG
rnacentral:rRNA from 1 species